rnacentral:rRNA from 1 species
UAAAUGCAUAUCACGAAUCUAUUUGUAAU